CCUACGGGUGGCAGCAGUAGGGAAUCUUCCACAAUGGGCGAAAGCCUGAUGGAGCGACGCCGCGUGGGUGAAGAAGGUCUUCGGAUCGUAAAACCCUGUUGUUAGAGAAGAAAGUGCGUUAGAGUAACUGUUAACGUUUCGACGGUAUCUAACCAGAAAGCAACGGCUAACUACGUGCCAGCAGCCGCGGUAAUACGUAGGUGGCAAGCGUUAUCCGGAUUUAUUGGGCGUAAAGGGAACGCAGGCGGUCUGUUAAGUCUGAUGUGAAAGCCUUGGGCUUAACGGGAGUAGUGCAUUGGAAACUGGGAGACUGGAGUGCAGAAGAGGAGAGUGGAAUUCCAGGUGUAGGGGUGAAAUGCGUAGAUAUAUGGAAGAACACCAGUGGCGAAAGCGACUCUCUGGUACGUAACUGACGCUGAGGUGCGAAAGCGUGGGUAGCAAACAGGAUUAGAUACCCUUGUAGUC
rnacentral:rRNA from 1 species